AAAGUCGUAACAAGGUUUCCGUAGGUGAACCUGCGGAAGGAUCAUUAAACAUUGCGGGUCCGCGAGGCCAGCGAGAUAAUGAGCGCAGCAACGUCGCCGCCCCACUGAAAAAUGGCAAAACUGCCGCGGUGGUGGCGGUUGAUAGUCUACACCCCCUGUGAAACUUAUACCUCUGCUUCGGCAGCGCCUUGCGGGCAACCGCUCGGGUAAGGCUGCCAGAGGCCCACCUUUAAAUUAGUUGAUGAAAUGUCAUGCAGUCUGAUACCUUCACGAUUUGAGAAAUCAAAUUAUAUUAAAACUUUCAGCAACGGAUCUCUUGGUUCCC
rnacentral:misc_RNA from 1 species